rnacentral:lncRNA from 1 species
AAACUUUUCCAUUUUUUGAACUUGAGUUUGUGUUAUUUUUGAACUUGAGGUUGUGAAAAUUGUUAAAACUUGAGAAUCAGGUGUUGGUUGAACUUGAGUUUGUGGUUUUUGUUGAACUUGAUUUUGUGCUUUGUUUGAACUUUAGUUUAUGGGUUUUUUGUACUUGAGGUUGUGUUGUUUUUGAACUUGAGGUUGUGGAAAUUGUAAAAACUUGAGAAUAAGGUGUUGGUUGAACUUGAGUUUGUGGUUUUUGUUGAACUUGAGUUUGUGUAGUUUUUGAGCUUGAGGUUGUGGUGUUUUUGAACUUGAGUUUGCGUGUUUGUUGAACUUGAGUUUGUGUGUUUUUUUAACUUGAGUUUGUUGUUUCUGAACUUGAGGUUGUGGCAAUUGUUGAACUUGAGUCUGUUGUUUUUAGUGAACUUUAGUUGGUGGCAAUUGUUGAACUUGAGUUUGUGGCAUUUGUUGAACUUGAGUUUGUGACGUGUUUAAACAUGAUUUUGUGGUGUUUUUGAACUCGAGUUUGUGGUGUUUUUGAACUUGAGUUUGUGUAGUGUUUGAACUUCAGUUUGUGGUGUUUUUUGAGCUUGAGGUUGUGGUGUUUUUGAACUUGAGUUUGUGGCGUGUUUGAACUUGAGGUUGUGGAAAUUGUUAAACUUGAGAAUCAGGUGUUGGUUGAACUUGAGUUUGUUUCGUGUUUGAUCUUGAGUUUGUGGUGUUUUUGAACUUGAGGUUGCUUGUUUGUUUAACUUGAGUUUGUGUGUUUUUUUAACUUGAGUUUGUUGUUUCUGAACUUGAGGUUUUGGCAAUUGUUGAACUUGAGUCUGUGGUUUUUAGUGAACUUUAGUUGGUUGCAAUUGUUGAACAUGAGUUUAUGGCGUUUGUUGAACUUGAGUUUGUGACGUGUUUGAACUUGAGUUUGUGUUAUUUUUGAACUUGAGGUUGUGGCAAUUUCUAAAAUUGAGAUUUGGGUGUUGGUUGAACUUAAAAGUUUGACAUUCGUUGAACUUCAGUUUGUGGUUUUUGUUGAACUUGAGUUUGUGUGGUGUUUGAACUUGAGUUUGUGGGUUUUUUAACUUGAGGUUGUGGUUUUUUGAACUUCAGUUUGUGGAAAUUUUUAAACUUGAGGAUUGGGUGGUGGUUGAACUUGAGUUUGUGGUGUUUUUUGAACUUGAGGUUGUGGUGUUUUUGACUUGAGUUCGUGGCGUGUUUGAACUUGAGGUUGUUGCAAUUGUUAAACUUGAGAUUUGGGUGUUGAUUGAACUUUGCCAUUUGUUGAACUUGAGUUUGUGGUGUUUGUUGAACUCCAGCUUGUGUUGUGUUUGAACUUGAGGUUGUGGUAUUUUUGAACUUGAGUUUGUGGUGUUUUUUUGGACUUGAGUUUGUGGCGUGUUUGAACUUGAGAUUGUGGCGUGUUUGAACUUGAGUUUGUGGUGGUUUUUGAACUUGAGGUUGUGAAAAUUGUUAAAACUUGAGAAUCAGGUGUUGGUUGAACUUGAGUUUGGGUAUUGGUUGAACUUGAUUUUGUGCUUUGUUUGAACUUUAGUUUAUGGUUUUUUUUGUACUUGAGUUUGUGUUGUUUUUGAACUUGAGGUUGUGGAAAUUGUAAAAACAUGAGAAUCAGGUGUUGGUUGAACUUGAGUUUGUGGUUUUUGUUGAACUUGAGUUUGUGUCGUUUUUGAGCUUGAGGUUGUGGUGUUUUUGAACUUGAGUUUGUGUGUUUGUUGAACUUGAGUUUGUGUGUUUUUUUAACUUGAGUUUGUUGUUUCUGAAUUUGAGGUUGUGGCAAUUGUUGAACUUGAGUCUGUUGUUUUUAGUGAACUUUAGUUGGUGGCAUUUGUUGAACUUGAGUUUGUGACGUGUUUAAACAUGAUUUUGUGGUGUUUUUGAACUCGAGUUUGUGGUGUUUUUGAACUUGAGGUUGUUGAAAUUGUUAAACUUGAGAAUUGGGUAUUGGUUGAACUUGAGUUUGUGUGUUUGUUUAACUUGAGUUUGUGUCGUGUUUGGACUUCAGUUUGUGGUGUUUUUUGAACUUGAGGUUGUGGUGUUUUUGAACUUGAGUUUGUGGCGGUUUUUGAACUUGAGGUUGUGGCAAUUGUUGAACUUGAGUUUGUGACGUGUUUGAACUUGAUUUUGUGGUGUUUUUGAACUCGAGUUUGUGGUGUUUUUGAACUUGAGUUUGUGGUGUUUGUUGAACUUGAGUCUGUUGUUUUUAGUGAACUUUAGUUGGUGGCAAUUGUUGAACUUGAGUUUUUGGCAUUUGUUGAACUUGAGUUUGUGACGUGUUUAAACAUGAUUUUGUGGUGUUUUUGAACUCGAGUUUGUGGUAUUUUUGAACUUGAGGUUAUUGAAAUUGUUAAACUUGAGAAUUGGGUAUUGGUUGAACUUGAGUUUGUGUGUUUGUUGAACUUGAGUUUGUGUCGUGUUUGGACUUCAGUUUGUGGUGUUUUUUGAACUUGAGUUUGUGGCGGUUUUUGAACUUGAGGUUGUGGCAAUUGUUAAACUUGAGAAUUGGGAAUUGGUUGAGCUUGAGGUUGUGGUGUUUUUGAACUUGAGUUUGUGGCGUGUUUGAACUUGAGGUUGUGGAAAUUGUUAAACUUGAGAUUUGGGUGUUGAUUGAACUUGAGUUUGUUUCGUGUUUGAUCUUGAGGUUGUGGUGUUUUUUGACUUGAUGUUGCUUGUUUGUUUAACUUGAGUUUGUGUGUUUUUUGAACUUGAGUUUGUGGUUUUUUUUAACUUGAGGUUUUGGUUUUUGAACUUCAGUUUGUGGAAAUUUUUAAACUUGAGGAUUGGGUGGUGGUUGAACUUGAGUUUGUGGUGUUUUUUUGAACUUGAGGUUGUGGUGUUUUUGACUUGAGUUCGUGGCGUGUUUGAACUUGAGGUUGUUGCAAUUGUUAAACUUGAGAUUUGGGUGUUGGUUGAACUUAAAACUUUUCCAUUUUUUGAACUUGAGUUUGUGUUAUUUUUGAACUUGAGGUUGUGAAAAUUGUUAAAACUUGAGAAUCAGGUGUUGGUUGAACUUGAGUUUGUGGUUUUUGUUGAACUUGAUUUUGUGCUUUGUUUGAACUUUAGUUUAUGGGUUUUUUGUACUUGAGGUUGUGUUGUUUUUGAACUUGAGGUUGUGGAAAUUGUAAAAACUUGAGAAUAAGGUGUUGGUUGAACUUGAGUUUGUGGUUUUUGUUGAACUUGAGUUUGUGUAGUUUUUGAGCUUGAGGUUGUGGUGUUUUUGAACUUGAGUUUGCGUGUUUGUUGAACUUGAGUUUGUGUGUUUUUUUAACUUGAGUUUGUUGUUUCUGAACUUGAGGUUGUGGCAAUUGUUGAACUUGAGUCUGUUGUUUUUAGUGAACUUUAGUUGGUGGCAAUUGUUGAACUUGAGUUUGUGGCAUUUGUUGAACUUGAGUUUGUGACGUGUUUAAACAUGAUUUUGUGGUGUUUUUGAACUCGAGUUUGUGGUGUUUUUGAACUUGAGUUUGUGUAGUGUUUGAACUUCAGUUUGUGGUGUUUUUUGAACUUGAGUUUGUGGUGUUUUUGAACUUGAGUUUGUGGCGUGUUUGAACUUGAGGUUGUGGAAAUUGUUAAACUUGAGAAUCAGGUGUUGGUUGAACUUGAGUUUGUUUCGUGUUUGAUCUUGAGUUUGUGGUGUUUUUGAACUUGAGGUUGCUUGUUUGUUUAACUUGAGUUUGUGUGUUUUUUUAACUUGAGUUUGUUGUUUCUGAACUUGAGGUUGUGGCAAUUGUUGAACUUGAGUCUGUUGUUUUUAGUGAACUUUAGUUGGUGGCAAUUGUUGAACUUGAGUUUGUGGCAUUUGUUGAACUUGAGUUUGUGACGUGUUUAAACAUGAUUUUGUGGUGUUUUUGAACUCGAGUUUGUGGUGUUUUUGAACUUGAGUUUGUGUAGUGUUUGAACUUCAGUUUGUGGUGUUUUUUGAGCUUGAGGUUGUGGUGUUUUUGAACUUGAGUUUGUGGCGUGUUUGAACUUGAGGUUGUGGAAAUUGUUAAACUUGAGAAUCAGGUGUUGGUUGAACUUGAGUUUGUUUCGUGUUUGAUCUUGAGUUUGUGGUGUUUUUGAACUUGAGGUUGCUUGUUUGUUUAACUUGAGUUUGUGUGUUUUUUUAACUUGAGUUUGUUGUUUCUGAACUUGAGGUUUUGGCAAUUGUUGAACUUGAGUCUGUGGUUUUUAGUGAACUUUAGUUGGUUGCAAUUGUUGAACAUGAGUUUAUGGCGUUUGUUGAACUUGAGUUUGUGACGUGUUUGAACUUGAGUUUGUGUUAUUUUUGAACUUGAGGUUGUGGCAAUUUCUAAAAUUGAGAUUUGGGUGUUGGUUGAACUUAAAAGUUUGACAUUCGUUGAACUUCAGUUUGUGGUUUUUGUUGAACUUGAGUUUGUGUGGUGUUUGAACUUGAGUUUGUGGGUUUUUUAACUUGAGGUUGUGGUUUUUUGAACUUCAGUUUGUGGAAAUUUUUAAACUUGAGGAUUGGGUGGUGGUUGAACUUGAGUUUGUGGUGUUUUUUGAACUUGAGGUUGUGGUGUUUUUGACUUGAGUUCGUGGCGUGUUUGAACUUGAGGUUGUUGCAAUUGUUAAACUUGAGAUUUGGGUGUUGAUUGAACUUUGCCAUUUGUUGAACUUGAGUUUGUGGUGUUUGUUGAACUCCAGCUUGUGUUGUGUUUGAACUUGAGGUUGUGGUAUUUUUGAACUUGAGUUUGUGGUGUUUUUUUGGACUUGAGUUUGUGGCGUGUUUGAACUUGAGAUUGUGGCGUGUUUGAACUUGAGUUUGUGGUGGUUUUUGAACUUGAGGUUGUGAAAAUUGUUAAAACUUGAGAAUCAGGUGUUGGUUGAACUUGAGUUUGGGUAUUGGUUGAACUUGAUUUUGUGCUUUGUUUGAACUUUAGUUUAUGGUUUUUUUUGUACUUGAGUUUGUGUUGUUUUUGAACUUGAGGUUGUGGAAAUUGUAAAAACAUGAGAAUCAGGUGUUGGUUGAACUUGAGUUUGUGGUUUUUGUUGAACUUGAGUUUGUGUCGUUUUUGAGCUUGAGGUUGUGGUGUUUUUGAACUUGAGUUUGUGUGUUUGUUGAACUUGAGUUUGUGUGUUUUUUUAAUUUGAGUUUGUUGUUUCUGAAUUUGAGGUUGUGGCAAUUGUUGAACUUGAGUCUGUUGUUUUUAGUGAACUUUAGUUGGUGGCAUUUGUUGAACUUGAGUUUGUGACGUGUUUAAACAUGAUUUUGUGGUGUUUUUGAACUCGAGUUUGUGGUGUUUUUGAACUUGAGGUUGUUGAAAUUGUUAAACUUGAGAAUUGGGUAUUGGUUGAACUUGAGUUUGUGUGUUUGUUUAACUUGAGUUUGUGUCGUGUUUGGACUUCAGUUUGUGGUGUUUUUUGAACUUGAGGUUGUGGUGUUUUUGAACUUGAGUUUGUGGCGGUUUUUGAACUUGAGGUUGUGGCAAUUGUUGAACUUGAGUUUGUGACGUGUUUGAACUUGAUUUUGUGGUGUUUUUGAACUCGAGUUUGUGGUGUUUUUGAACUUGAGUUUGUGGUGUUUGUUGAACUUGAGUCUGUUGUUUUUAGUGAACUUUAGUUGGUGGCAAUUGUUGAACUUGAGUUUUUGGCAUUUGUUGAACUUGAGUUUGUGACGUGUUUAAACAUGAUUUUGUGGUGUUUUUGAACUCGAGUUUGUGGUAUUUUUGAACUUGAGGUUAUUGAAAUUGUUAAACUUGAGAAUUGGGUAUUGGUUGAACUUGAGUUUGUGUGUUUGUUGAACUUGAGUUUGUGUCGUGUUUGGACUUCAGUUUGUGGUGUUUUUUGAACUUGAGUUUGUGGCGGUUUUUGAACUUGAGGUUGUGGCAAUUGUUAAACUUGAGAAUUGGGAAUUGGUUGAGCUUGAGGUUGUGGUGUUUUUGAACUUGAGUUUGUGGCGUGUUUGAACUUGAGGUUGUGGAAAUUGUUAAACUUGAGAUUUGGGUGUUGAUUGAACUUGAGUUUGUUUCGUGUUUGAUCUUGAGGUUGUGGUGUUUUUUGACUUGAUGUUGCUUGUUUGUUUAACUUGAGUUUGUGUGUUUUUUGAACUUGAGUUUGUGGUUUUUUUUAACUUGAGGUUUUGGUUUUUGAACUUCAGUUUGUGGAAAUUUUUAAACUUGAGGAUUGGGUGGUGGUUGAACUUGAGUUUGUGGUGUUUUUUUGAACUUGAGGUUGUGGUGUUUUUGACUUGAGUUCGUGGCGUGUUUGAACUUGAGGUUGUUGCAAUUGUUAAACUUGAGAUUUGGGUGUUGGUUGAACUUAAAACUUUUCCAUUUUUUGAACUUGAGUUUGUGUUAUUUUUGAACUUGAGGUUGUGAAAAUUGUUAAAACUUGAGAAUCAGGUGUUGGUUGAACUUGAGUUUGUGGUUUUUGUUGAACUUGAUUUUGUGCUUUGUUUGAACUUUAGUUUAUGGGUUUUUUGUACUUGAGGUUGUGUUGUUUUUGAACUUGAGGUUGUGGAAAUUGUAAAAACUUGAGAAUAAGGUGUUGGUUGAACUUGAGUUUGUGGUUUUUGUUGAACUUGAGUUUGUGUAGUUUUUGAGCUUGAGGUUGUGGUGUUUUUGAACUUGAGUUUGCGUGUUUGUUGAACU